rnacentral:rRNA from 1 species
GAUGAACGCUGGCGGCGUGCUUAAUACAUGCAAGUCGAACGGAAAGGCCCUGCUCUUGUGCGUUUCUCGAUUGGCGAACGGGUGAGUAACACGCGAGUAACCUGCCCUUGUCUUUGUGAUAACUUUAGGAAACUGGGGCUAAUAUCCGAUAUGAGCUCCUGCUCCAUGGUGUGGGUUGGAAAGUUUCGGCGGUUGGGGAUGGACUCGCUGCUUAUCCGCUUGUUUGUGGGGUAGUGGCUUACCAAGGCUUUGACGGGUAGCCUGCAUGAGAGGGUGACCGGCGACAUGGGGACUAAGAUACGGACCAGAAGCGUACGGGACGCAGCAGUGGGGAGUAUUACGGAGUGGGCGCAAGCGAGAGACAGAAGCGUCGCGUGCGGGAUGACGGCCUUCGGGUGAUAAACAAAUUUCGAAGGUAACGAGGCGGGAGUGACGGUAAUGGGUAAGGAAGCAACGGCUAACUACGUG